rnacentral:tRNA from 1 species
GUCCCGUUCGUCUAGUGGCCAAGGACGCCAGGUUCUCAUCCUGGUAACAGGGGUUCGAGUCCCCUACGGGAUG